rnacentral:rRNA from 1 species
GACGAACGCUGGCGGCGUGCUUAACACAUGCAAGUCGAACGAUGAACCCGGGGCUUGCUCCGGUGGAUUAGUGGCGAACGGGUGAGUAACACGUGAGUAACCUGCCCUUGACUCUGGGAUAACUGCGGGAAACUGUAGCUAAUACCGGAUACGACCCUCGGCGGCAUCGCCAGGGGGUGGAAAGAAUUUCGGUCAAGGAUGGACUCGCGGCCUAUCAGCUAGUUGGUGGGGUAACGGCUCACCAAGGCGACGACGGGUAGCCGGCCUGAGAGGGGGACCGGCCACACUGGGACUGAGACACGGCCCAGACUCCUACGGGAGGCAGCAGUGGGGAAUAUUGCACAAUGGGCGCAAGCCUGAUGCAGCAACGCCGCGUGAGGGAUGACGGCCUUCGGGUUGUAAACCUCUUUUAGUGGGGAAGAAGCGAAAGUGACGGUACCUGCAGAAAAAGCACCGGCUAACUACGUGCCAGCCGCCGCCGUAA